CCUACGGGAGGCAGCAGUGGGGAAUAUUGCACAAUGGGGGAAACCCUGAUGCAGCGACGCCGCGUGAAGGAAGAAGUAUUUCGGUAUGUAAACUUCUAUCAGCAGGGAAGAAAAUGACGGUACCUUACUAUGAAGCACCGACUAACUACGUGCCAGCAGCCGCGGUAAUACGUAGGGGGCAAGCGUUAUCCGGAUUUACUGGAUGUAAAGGGAGCGUAGGCGGCGCUGCAAGUCAGAAGUGAAAGCCCGGGGCGCAACACCGGGACUGCUUUUGAAACUGUGUUGCUAGAGUGCAGGAGAGGUAAGUGGAAUUCCUAGUGUAGCGGUGAAAUGCGUAGAUAUUAGGAGGAACACCAGUGGCGAAGGCGGCUUACUGGACAGUAAAGGACGCUGAGGCUCGAAAGCGUGGGGAGCAAACAGGAUUAGAUACCCGAGUAGUC
rnacentral:rRNA from 1 species